rnacentral:rRNA from 1 species
UACAGAGGGGGCAAGCGUUGUUCGGAAUUACUGGGCGUAAAGGGCGCGUAGGCGGCCCGCUAAGUCGAACGUGAAAUCCCCGGGCUCAACCCGGGAACUGCGUCCGAUACUGGCAGGCUUGAAUCCGGGAGAGGGAUGCGGAAUUCCAGGUGUAGCGGUGAAAUGCGUAGAUAUCUGGAGGAACACCGGUGGCGAAGGCGGCAUCCUGGACCGGUAUUGACGCUGAGGCGCGAAAGCGUGGGGAGCGAACAGG